GACGAACGCUGGCGGCGUGCUUAACACAUGCAAGUCGAACGGAAAGGCCCUGCUUUUGUGGGGUGCUCGAGUGGCGAACGGGUGAGUAACACGUGAGUAACCUGCCCUUGACUUUGGGAUAACUUCAGGAAACUGGGGCUAAUACCGGAUAGGAGCUCCUGCUGCAUGGUGGGGGUUGGAAAGGUUCGGCGGUUGGGGAUGGACUCGCGGCUUAUCAGCUUGUUGGUGGGGUAGUGGCUUACCAAGGCUUUGCCGGGUAGCCGGCCUGAGAGGGUGACCGGCCACAGUGGGACUGAGAUGCGGCCCAGACUCCUACGGGAGGAAGCAGUGGGGAAUAUUGCACAAUGGGCGGAAGCCUGAUGCAGCAACGCCGCGUGCGGGAUGACGGCCUUCGGGUUGUAAACCGCUUUCGCCUGUGACGAAGCGUGAGUGACGGUAAUGGGUAAAGAAGCACCGGCUAACUACGUG
rnacentral:rRNA from 1 species